GUCUACAGACAUACCACCCUGAACAAGCCUGAUCCUGUCUGAUCUUGGAAGAUAAGCAGGGUUGAGCCUGGUUAGUACUUGGAUGGGAAACCACCUAUGAAGACCAGGCGCUGUAGGCA
ensembl:rRNA 5S_rRNA 5S ribosomal RNA